AGAGUUUGAUCAUGGCUCAGGAUGAACGCUAGCGGCAGGCUUAACACAUGCAAGUCGAGCGAAGCACUUUACUUUGAGAUCUUCGGAAGGAUAAGUUUUGUGACUAAGCGGCGGACGGGUGAGUAACGCGUGGGUAACCUGCCUCACACAGGGGGAUAACAGUUAGAAAUGACUGCUAAUACCGCAUAAGGCCACAGCACCGCAUGGUGCAAGGGUAAAAACUCCGGUGGUGUGAGAUGGGCCCGCGUCUGAUUAGUUAGUUGGCGGGGUAACGGCCUACCAAGGCGACGAUCAGUAGCCGACCUGAGAGGGUGACCGGCCACAUUGGGACUGAGACACGGCCCAAACUCCUACGGGAGGCAGCAGUGGGGAAUAUUGCACAAUGGGGGAAACCCUGAUGCAGCGACGCCGCGUGAGCGAAGAAGUAUUUCGGUAUGUAAAGCUCUAUCAGCAGGGAAGAAACUGACGGUACCUGACUAAGAAGCGCCGG
rnacentral:rRNA from 1 species